rnacentral:lncRNA from 10 species
UUCUCCUGCCUCAUCCUCCCGAGAAGGUGGGACUACAGGCGCCCACCACCUCGCCUGGCUAAUUUUUUAUAUUUUUAGUAGAGACAGGGUUUCACCGUGUUAGCCUGGAUGGUCUCGAUCUCCUGACCUCGUGAUCCACCCGCCUCGGCCUCCCAAAGUGUUGGGAUUACAGGGGGCCCCAUACUGAUGAAAUGAAAAGGAGUCUCAGAACGUCCGUGUUUAUCCUCUUUACUGCAUAACUGCCGAGAAUAAUCACUUGGGAUUCAGUCUGGCCCUAGAAUCUCUCAAUAUUAUUUCCACAUUUAAAUUGUCAUUUAAUCUUCAUAUCAAACUAUUGGUCAUUCCAUCAUUUUCAAAGAUUUGGGGAAGAAAUAUUUUUAAUCUAUAUUAUGAAGAGCAAGAUGUCGCUUUAUAAUGAAACAUCAGCUCUUAAUUGAUAUUGAGAUAUUGUUAGAUAUUAAAUUGAAAAGGUAACCUGAUAUUCACAGAGAUAUUGAUAUUAAAUUGGGAAGUUACAUGAGCUAUUUGUAUUAAAUUAGAAUACUAUUAGAAUGGAUAUUUAACAAUAUAUAUUUUUUGUUUCUUCCCAAUGCAAGUAGAAAAGGUACUUAUUUUUUUCUUUUUUGCUGAAUGAUCCAAAAAAGACCUGCCCGUCUCCACCCCAAACAGUCUCUCUUCUUGCUACACUCUGGGAUCUUGCUCUAUGCUGCUGAAAAUGAGCUAAACACAGAUAUGACAGGGUACUGUUAGCAUGAUUUGCAUACCGUACAGGAUACUAUUACAACACUUGUCUUCCUUCCUUCUCUACAUUUGUUCCAAUUUAAUAUCAAUAUUCAUUAUAAUAGUAUUUGUCGAGUCUAUAGGAAUAGAAAAAUAUAAAAGCACAAUUAUAGUAUUUGAUAAUUGUGUUCACAGUUUAAUGAACAAACAAAUAAAUAUGCCAGUAACUGAAAUUACAGUGAAACAAGAACUAUGAAAAGAUUGUACAAAUUGCCAAAGGGUAAAUGGAUCGUGGAAGCCUGGGGAAGAGAGCAGUCAGAGAUGGCUGAAAGGAGAAGAAAGUUAUGAAGAAAAGGUGAUAAAUCAAUAGCAGGGCAAGGAGAGAAAACGCAUUCCGAAUAAGGGAUCACCAUAAGCAGAAACAUAGUGACUUAGAAGAGCAUAGGGUGUUCAGGGAAUGGCAGGUAAUUUAGUACAGCUAAAGAAACAUAUGGUAGACAGACAUGGAAUGAGGCUCAGGAGGCAAAAUGUCCAGGAUUUGGAAUUUUAUCCUGAGGUUACAGAACCAUGGAAGGUUUUAUACAUUGGGGUAAUUUAUUGGUACUGCAUCACUAAUCCAGCCCAUGUUAGGGUCAGGAUGACAAUUAAAAUGCUAUUGCAACCUUUCACAGAAAAAAAAUGAUGUGGGCCAAAUCUAAGGGCAUAAAAUUGAGAUUAAAAAGACAAUUUAAGGAUAUUGAAGAGGCAGAAUCGAUAGAAAUUAGCAAACAUUUGGAGGUGCAGAGGCUGAUGAAGAAGAGAGUUGAGGCUCACUGAGAAAUUUUUGGCAGAGGCAGCUUGAUGAACAAAAAGUCUUGCUAAAGGAUAACUUUAAUUUGAUCAUCCUUGAAAUUGCAGAAUGAUAUAAUUAAAUUAAGGGAUACCAAAGCAUAAGAGAAGUGGAACUGAAGCUUCAUAAUGAAAGUUUUAUCUACACUUCCUUUGUGAAUUACGCUUUAACAAAAUAAGAGCAACUCUGAAUUUUCUAAACGUUGACUUUCCCCAAGUAACAGAAUGACCACUGUCAACUCUGACAAUCCUAGUUUGACUCGGAGCCUGAUAUGUCAAUUUUCCUUGCCGUGAAGACUCAGAUAUGUAAUUUCUUUCUAAACAUUGUGAAUAAUUAAUUCUGUCUGACUAAUGACCCAAGAUUGGGUAAACGAGAAGAAGAGGAACAUUUACUAUAUAAUAGAUUAAGUGAGGUCAAGCAAAUAUGUUUAAUGUGAACACCUGCUAUUCCACACAUAAUGAGUUAUUUUAGAAGUUUCAAGUUGAAUGAGCAUAAAAGCCCCUGCGGAAACAGAAAUAUCUCCACCCAAAACGGUCUCUCUUCUUGCUACACUCUGGGAUCUUGCUCUGUUGCUGAAAAUGAGCUAAACACAAAUGUGACAGUGUACUGUUGGCAUUAUUCACGUACAGUACAGAACAUUAUUAAAAUGUGAUCUUUGCCCUUCCUUCUUUCUCUACAUUUGUUCAUACCCCAACCUAUCUUCUGCUUCAUCCACAAUUUCAACCAAGCUCCAGAAUUCAGCUGUAUAGGCUUUGUUUGACUUGAAGGCACUGUUUUUCAGAAAGCUUCUUAUACCUGGGCCACACUUUACCUGUGAGGAGUCUCAGCACAGAUUGCUGGGUUACUGGGAAGGCCCAGGACUGAAGAUCAAGGGAUCUGAACUACCAUUUUUCCAUCUCCCCUCAUCUCAAAUUUUUAUUUCUUAAAUUGGAAACAGUCAUUACUCAGCUGCUACAUCAUAGUAAAAACUAAAUAGAAUUAUAUUUUAAGAUAUAUUUUGUAAGCUUAAAAUGCUAUACAAAUGUGAGAGAUUAAAAUUGUCAUCCAAGCUUUCUUAGCCAGUUUAUAUACUUUGUCUUAAUUAUAUUAAAGUUAACUUCACUGUCUUCAUUUGUAUUAUGGGGAUAAAAAUAUUGCAUUACCAGAGUGGUUAAAAGAACAAAAUGAGUGUUGCACAAGUCUUGGAUGUAUUAAAUGUUAAAUAAAAGGUGGUACUCUCGGUAGAAGUACUGGUAUUAUCAAUAUUAUUCUUAUCGAUCCAUUGCAAAGCAAUUGGUGUUUGAUCCUAGCCUGUCUACAGGACACAAACGCCCUGGUUGCUGAAGACUCUGCAGAAUAGAUUGCGCAAAGGAUAUGAUGCAAUUGCACAAUGUAUGUGUAGUAGUACAUUGCUCAUUUAAAUAAUAAGUGCAGCCCAGGUCAUGGCCUUUGCUUUGUACUAGUACAGCAUUACCCUCUGCUAAUACGUAAAGCUUUAUGAGGCAGCAAGGCUAAUCUUUCUUAGGCUCUUAGCCUCAAUGAAAUGAGGGCUCAGACAGUAUCCUGUGUGCAUUUUAAGCCAUCACUGUCAGUGAACUUAAGCUGUUACUUCUGCCCCUUCCCCUGAAGAUGGGGUUGCUACAGGCAAGUAAGUAUCAUUACCAUUUCAGGUAUGAGAAAUGCUUAGCCUGCCUUUGAUUUUAGAUCCUAGAACCUGAGAACUGAACAAAACUCUAGAGGUCAUUUGGCUCAACCCAUUAACUGUCCAGAAGAUGAAAGUAGGCCCAGAGAAAAAGUGACUUGCCAAAGGUUAAACAGCUUUUAUCAAUGCAGAAACCAGGCAAGAUUUCCUGACUCCCAUCUAGGGCUUGCUUGCUACUUUAUUCUUCACUAGUUUAAUUUGGUCUCCAUUGGCCAAGACCACCUCAUUGCUGGCUUUCUGAGGCCAAGCACCUGGGUGGUUUCUUAUCUGAGUAUUGGACUGCAGCCAGGCAUGUGAAUGGACAGGGAUGGCUGACUCAGACUUUGGAACACUUCAUGCCUAAGGGGUAAGGUACAGCCUUAAAGAAGGGUGUGGGCUCUGGGCGCUUCCCCAUACCUCCAAAGUUGUGUCAGCAUGACUGGCUGAGUAAGGGGGAAGGAGCAUGGUCUCAUCCUGCAGGGCUCCAGCUAAUAGAUUCUGGGACGUAGAGCAACUUUGAUUACUUAGCCAACUUGGGAUAUGUUUAACACAGGUAAACAGAGCAGUGAACUAGCAGGGAGACAGUGCAGAAAGAGUGAAAAAGCUUUCUUAUUAUUCAUGCAUUUAUUCAUUUUUGCAAGAGGUAUUUAUUACACAAAUAUUCCAGUCUACACAACCAAGUAAUAUGACCCAUAUUCUCAAAAAUUUUAUGGUGAAACAUGAGAGAUGGCAACUAAAGAGCCAGGCUUUGGCCAGGCGUGGUGGCUCACACCUGUAAUCCUAGCACUUUGGAAGGCUGAGGCGAGUGGAUCACCUGAGGUCAGGAGUUCAAGACCAGCCUGGCCAACAUGGUGAAACCCCGUCUCUACCCAAAAUACAAAAAUUAGCCAGGUGUGGCGGCGGGCGCCUGUAAUCCCAGCUUUACGGGAGGCUGAGGCAGGAGAAUUGCUUGAAUUCAGGAGACAGAGGUUGCAGUGAGCCGAGAUUGCGCCAUUGCACUCCAGCCUGGGUGACAGAGGGAGACUCUGUCUCAAAAAAUAAUAAUAAAUAAAUAAAUAAGCCAGAUUUUAUGCAGUGAGAUAUGUGCCGUAACAGUGGUGAACACGAGGCAUUGUAGAAACUCCAAAGAAGGCUGUAUUGGGUGUGUUUGUAUUGUGCAUGUGUGUGGUGUUCAGGAAGGCUUUCCUGGAGGUGAUGUCUGAGCUGAAUCUUUAAAGAUGCAGAAGGGAUAUAAUGUCAGAGGUGUGAGAAAGCAUGGUUGUUCUGGAAAAUGGGUAAUUCAAUAUGGCCAGAGAAUGGAAUCAAAAGUAAGGAUUAUUACAAGACGCUUGGCAUGUCACUUUUAACUGGUAAAAAUGGUCCACUUCACCUUGCUACUGAGCAAACAGAAACUUAGGGGGAUUAAGCCAUUCUCCCAAGACUACCAGAGAUAUCAAGCACCAAACCAGGAUUAGCUCAGAUCUUCAUUUUUCAAAUGCCUUUUAUACUAUAAACUCCGAAGAAAAUAUUUAAAAUUAUCUCCAAGGCUUCCUCAACUUAGAGAAGAAGGAGUAGUUUGGAACUGAAGUCCCAUUUUCUUAUGGAAACCAUGGCAUAUAUGUUGGUUCAGGAUCCAAGUUUGUCCUGCACAAAGCAACUCAGCCCAUAAUGUACCUAUAAUACUUUACAAAAAUAAUUACAGUAACUGGCUGUCAAAUAUAACCAAGUUUGUAUAAGAAAAUGUGCUUCAAUUUGGAAUGCUUGAAAAAUCUCACCCUCCCGAAGUGGGAGAUAGACACUUGCAGAUCCUGAUUGACAGGGCCCAGGAAACCAGGGAGGAUGAAUAUCCAUGAAGAACAUGACCAUGGGAUCCUGGGGACCUGAAAAUUGUGGGGCCGAACAUCUUUUCUAGGACAAAUUCCCCAGGGACACCUUGCAGCCUGCAGUCUUUUGUCUUCUUAUCAUUUCUUUUCUUCAGAAAACCCUUCCAUGAUGCCACCCAAGAUGUGGGACUAUGUUUUUCUCCUCUCUGAUGUCCCAUAGAUCCUUCCUGCCUGCCUGACACAAGCACCAAAAACUUUGGAAGUUCCAUUAAAGACUAGAAACUAUGAAAAGUUAAGGAAUAAAAAGAUAUCUGGCCAGGUGUGGUGGCUCACGCCUGUAAUCCCAACACUUUGGGAGGCAGAUCACCUAAGGUCAGGAGUUUGAGACCAGCCUGGUCAACAUGGUGAAACCCCAUCUCUACUAAAAAUACAAAAAUUAGCUGGGCGUGGUGGUGGCGCCUGUAGUCCCAGUUACUCUCCUGAGUCUGAGGCAGGAGAAUUGCUUGAACCCAGGAGGCGGAAAAUGAAAAACAGAGUGAGGGAAAGUUGGCGUGCAGGUGCUUUUCUGUGUCUGAGUCCCUGAGGCCUCCUGUAACCACACUCCUGGGUGCUCAGGAGUAGAAAAGGGGAUAGUGGAGAGAAAAACAUAAUUAAAAAACACAUGGCAGUCCCUGCUAUUACUGUCCUUUCACCAACGUUAUCUUCCUGCUCUAACAAUAACAACAAAUAUAUAUCUUCUGCUUUAGCAAUUCCCCCAAAAUGUUUAGCCACUUAAACAUUUUAAAAUACAAUCAUUAAAUGUGAAUCAUGGAUUACUUCAGUGUAAAUACUGGAAGGAAUCUCAGAGGUGAUUAGUGAAACCUUUUUAUUUUACACAUAAGGUAACUGAGGUACACAGAGAGAUCUGAGAUUUUUUCGGGUUCACAAAGGGAGCGAGAGGCACGUGCAGAACCAGAAUCUCUCACUUGCCUGACCCCAGACAGAGACACUCUGCUGCUCUGCGCUGCUAUUGAAAUUGACAGUCAACAGAGCAUUUUCAAAUGUAUUAUUCAAAAAACUCUGGGUUUGGCACAACUCAGAUGGGUUAAAACGAUUUUCCUGAAGCCACACAGUUACUGAGACACCUGUAAACAGACCCCAGAUCUCUUAGAUUCCAAAUCCAAUGCCCAUAAGACUGUAAAGAUGGCCAUGUGGAGUUUUCUCCAAAAAUGUUUAACCUAUGGAAUAAGUUGAGAACUUAAAAACAAAUGAUCACGGUAGACAAUUUCCCUUUUGGGUAAUCCCGGAGAGCAAAAACAAAAUCCCCCCGAAAAAUCAAAGCUUUAAAUUUGAAUGCGCAUCCUUUACUAAUACACACGGCCUGUGAAUUAAGGAUGGAGAAUUAUUCCCUCUGUUUUAUGUGUGAAACUGGUUUCAUAAUGUUUACUUUUUCAUUUGUUAUUAAUUUUGGAUCAUACCACUAAAAAUUAAUUAAUGUGGAUUUCUAUUUCUUAAACAUAGAAAUGAGUUAAUAUACAUGAGAAUAUUUUUAUUAAUUUUUUAAUUAAAAAACACUCUCAUGUACAUUAACUCAUUUGAUGUUAUCAUUCCUUCAAUUAAAUUUGUUAUUGUUAUUAUUAUUAUGAUGAUCUCCUCUUUUCACUUAAGAAACUGAAGUCCAAAACCUCAAAGUUAAUAAACAAUAGCAGAAACCUAUGUUUUCCGAUUCUAAAUCUAAUAGGUUAAACAUUGAUUCUGGCAUAUUUCUAAUUAUUUUUGUUGUAUCUGUUUCAAUCUCAUGGAUAAAAACAUUUCACAACCACAUUCCCACAUAAUACUUGUAUAUUUAAUUACCUACUUCCUUCUAGGUAGACAGUGGACCUAUAGCUUUCAGGCUGUUGGAUCAUUAUGUGUUGUAUAAUGAUUGGUUUUGCUAUAAACACUGCCAUUGAAAAGGCUGUCAAAAUGCAUUCAGAAAGACUCAGCUGCCAAAUACAGUAGUCGCCCCUUAUUCAUGGGAGAUAUGUUUUAAGACCGCCAGUGGAUGCUUGAAACCAUGGAUAGUAUGAAAGCUCACAUAUACUAUGGGUUUUUUUUUUUGACUGAUAACCCAGACAACUACGAAGUGACUGACGGGCAGCUAAUGUAUACAGCGUGGAUACACUGGACAAAGGAAUGAUUCACAUGCUGAGCAAGAUGGAGCAAGAUUUCAUUAUGCUUUUCAGAAUGGUGCACAAUUAAAAACUUAUGAAUUUCUGGAAUAUUCCAUUUAAUGCUUUUGGACUGUGGUUAACCACUAGUAACUGAAACAAUGGAAAGUGAAACCAUGGAUGAGAAGUAGGUACUAGUGAACAAGUUUCCAGUUAAAUGUUCAAAUUCAAUCUGCUCCUCAGUUAAACAUAUGAAUUAUUUUUAAAUGUAAAAAUUUUGUAUAUAUUCCUCUGGACAAUGAAGAUUAAACAGAAGAAAGAUGGUAAAAAAAAAUUUAAACUCAUGGAGUACUGUAGUAUCCAUUUUUUAUCUUUUUAAAUUAUUUUAUUAUUCUUUUAUACUUGGUCAAUGUAAAGUUUUGUUAAAUCUGAUUUGAUUCAGUUAGGUCCAUACUUAACCUACUUUUAGUACAAAAUAUGAUUUUUUUUCCAGGUUCCAAGCAAGUAGGUUUAUUUUCAGUUGCCUGAGUAGAUAUAUCUAUGGCCAGUAUAUGCAAUAGAUAGAAGCUCAAAGCCAGAGAAGUUUCAUUCUCCGGGGUCCAUGUGAUGUGUUUGAUUCAACUGAUUAUAAGGUACCCUGAAAAAAUACGUUGUCAGUGCUGUAUGCUGUAGUUUAUUUCAAAAUAAGAUACACACAACCAUUGGGACUGAGAGGCUGGGUUGUUUUGUCAAGGUCAACAUUUAACUCUAUUCUGGAACUGUUCUCAGAAUUAUGAAAACCAGAAUUGCACUCAGAACUCAUGUUUUUGUUUGUUUUUGAGAUGGAGUCUUGCUUUGUCGCCUAGGCUGGAGUGCAGUGGCGCCAUCUAGGCUCACCGCAACCUCUGCCUCCCAGGUUCAAGCAAUUCUCCUGCCUCAGCCUCCCGAGUAGCUGGUACAACAGGCACGUGUCAUCACGUCAGCUAAUAUUUGUAUUUUUAGUAGAGAUGGGGUUUCACCCAUGUUGGUCAGGCUGGUCUUGAACUCCUGACCAUGUGAUCCACCCGCCUUGGCCUCCCAAACUGUUGGGAUUACAGGCGUGAGCUACCGCGCCUGGCCAGAACUCAUUUUUAACCACCGUCAAGCAACAAUUUAAAAACAAGUAUGAAUAAAAUUUAACUUUUAUAUAAAACAAAAUCAACUGAUAAGGUUUUUACAUCUUAAGUUACAAAGGAAGAUUGCAUUUUUAUCAAUAACUUUUCUAAACAAAUUCUUUUUUCUUUUUAGGAACAUUUCUUUUGCAAACAGUAAGCCCAUCUAAAUUAAUUCAUAUGAUAAGGGGAUUUCUAUCUCUCUUUAUAAAUCCUGAGGUCAGUAAUUCUAGGAAAAUACAGCUGCCUAUGGGGUAAAUUCAUGAUAAUUUCACAGCAUUGACAACACCGCCAUUAAAGAGAGAGCCAGAAAAGUAGUUAAUGGAAUAUGCUCAAGAACAUUGUUUAUUAUAGACAAUUUAAUAUUUUCAUGAUAAAAUGUAACUGUGAUAAGACAUUAGUUAUUUAUAUCUUUACUAAUGUACAUGUCAUAAAAUAUUUAUGAAAUGCCAGUAACGCAUUAGACUUCUAAAAUUAAACACUGGACUUAAACAAAUUAAAAGCACAUAAGUCUAAUUUCAAUUAUUCUAAUACUGAUAAAAAUGUUGUGAGCAAUAUAUUUCAAAACUUUUUUUUUUCAAGAAAAGAAUACUGAUUAAUAAUAUUUCUUUUAGAAGGUUUAUUUUAGGUCUUUAACUCACACACACACACACACACACAAACGUGGCAUAUGCUAUUCUGAAUUCCUGGAAUGGCAGAUACUUACAGUCUUUCUUUCUAUUAAGUGUAUCCUAUAUGAAGUGCAACUUUUUACAAAAAACAAGAAAGUGAUUAUAAUCUCAGCUUAAAGAGAUAGAGUGUAAGAAUAAAUCAAAUGGUGAACUCAGGAUGUAUAUCUACCUCCUUCUCACCUUUGACACAUUUAGAAAUCAAUAUAGGCCGGGCGUGGUGGCUCACGCCUGUAAUCCUAGCACUUUGGGAGGCAGAGGCAGGCAGAUUGCUUGAGGUCAAGAGUUCGAGACCAGCCUGGCCAACAUGGUGAAACCCCAUCCCUAUUAGACAUACAAAAAAUUAGCCGGGAGGGGUGGUGUACACCUGUAGUCCUAGCUACUCAGGAGAAUCUGAGGCAGGAGAAUCUCUUGAACCCAGGAGGCGGAGGAUGCAGGGAGCCGAGAUUGUGCCACUGCACUCCAGCCUGGGUGACACAGAGAGAUUCUGUCUCAAAAAUUAAAAUUAAAAAAAAAAGAAAUCGUGCUAUAUAUGUACACAUGUAUGUACACAUAUAUGUAAAAUUAUAAACAUAUGAUACAUAAGGUACUUAUCUUUUUUACAUAUAUAAAGUUUUAAUCAAUAUGAAUGAGUUACACUGCUGAAAAACAGGGAAACUUCACUUCUGUUGAGUAGAAGUUAUAAUAGAUCAUGAUUAUAAUAUAUACAUAUAUUAUAAAACAGAAUUUGAUUAUUGCGAUCGUAGCUCUAUAAUUAUAAAAGGAAGCACAGUUGUAAAAGGUAGAAAUGACUCUGUAGCUGUGUUUGCCAAGUUCAAAAAGUAUAAUAUAUUUUAUACUGAUUAUAACUAUAAAAGGAAGCACAGUUGUAAAAGGUAGAAAUGACUCUGUAGGUGUGUUUGCCAAGUUCAAAAGUAAUAGAGCCUUAAGCAGGGAAGUGUCCUAGGACAACCUUUAGGGUAAUUUGUAGAGAGAUCUUCUCCCCACAUGUCUUACUCUGUUGUCAGACAAUGAACCGUCAGGUAAAAUGGGCUUCUUUUCCAACAAAAAAGCAGUAACUGACUGCUUAGGCCUGAAGACACAGGGUGGGCUUUGGAUAAUUGGUUACAUUUACAAGGAUAAAGAAACACUCAUAUUUACAAUGCUGUUAGGAUAAUCUGACAUAUAUCACAUUUCUUUCUCUUUUACAAAUUUAAAGAUAGCCUGAGGAAGAAAAAAAUAAUACUCUCAGAAAGGGUAAUCAUUCUUAAAUACAAAGAUAAAGAGACAAGCUGGAUUCAUCAAACACUUGAAGAAAACAAGUAACAUGGGAGAGAGAGAGAGAGAGAAUCACCAACUUUAAUAAACAUACAUCAUCCUAGGAACUAGAGUUCCUAGUGCAAAAAGAUACUUUGAAAUGUAUUAGUAUCUUCAGAGUAAUAAGAGAGUUUAAUAUAUUCAUGAAUCAAUAACUUGGUUGUAAAAAAUAUUACCAACUAGAGAUCUUGAAAAUGAUUGCCAAAAGUAAAAUCACAGUAAAUGAAUGGGAUAGUAGAAUAGCUGCAGCUGAAGAUGAAUCUGAUCAAUUUUUCCAAAAUGCAGGGGAAAGGUACAAAAUAAAGUACAUCAGAAAAAUUAAAAGACAACAUUGAUCCAAAUUUUAAUACUCAUUUCAAAGGAAGAAAAAUAAUGUAAUAGAGGUAAUAACCCAAUAACAAUACUAUUAUUGCUACUACAACCAAUGACAUAAAUACACAGAACUGAUGACAUCAUUCUUUACAUUGAAAAGUCUACCAAUGAGAACACUUGGACACAGGAAGGGGAACAUCACACAC